UACAGAGGUCCCAAGCGUUGUUCGGAUUCACUGGGCGUAAAGGGUGCGUAGGUGGUGAGGUAAGUCGGAUGUGAAAUCUCCGAGCUCAACUCGGAAAUGGCAUUGGAAACUACCUUGCUCGAGGGUUGGAGGGGGGACUGGAAUGCUUGGUAUAGCGGUGAAAUGCGCAGAUAUCAGGAGGAACACCGGUGGCGAAGGCGGGUCUCUGGGCCGUAACUGACGCUGAGGAGCGAAAGCGUGGGGAGCGAACAGG
rnacentral:rRNA from 1 species